CGGGGCCUGUGGGCAGGGCAGGGUCACCACCCGGGUCCCGGGAUGGCUUGAGUCCUCUAAGGAAUAAGGUCACCUCCGGCUCAGGGACACAGAGAGGAGGGCAGUGUCUGGCCAAGGUCACACAGCUUGGAGGGGACAGGCCAAAGAGACAGCAUCCUGCGAGGGCAAGGCCCAGAGCACCCCAUCCUGCGAACCCAAACCCCAAGCGGAGCGGGGGCUUCCGCACCCCUUUAACCUUCACAGCCUCCAAGUCCCGCCCUGGCACAGACUGGGAUUCCUCCGCAGCCCCGCCUCCCAGGAUGGGAACUCCAGCAAGCCCCCACCUACAGGGCGCUGAAGGACGAGGGGAGGACGACGGGUCCCACCUGACUCUGCACCUCUGCAGGCUCCCUCUGAAGGACAACUGCUGGCCCCUCAGGGCCUCAGGUGGAAGGCGUCGGGAAGUGGAGCAGAGAUAGGGUCUCACAGUGUUGCUCAAGCUGAUGUUGAACUGUUGGAAUCAAGAGAUCCUCCUGCCCCAGUCUCCCUAGUAGCUGGGACUACAAGUGUGUGCCGCCGCACCUGCCACCCUCCUCACUGUUUGGGCCCCCAUGUGAGGACUCACCUCGGGAAGAGCUCCUGUGGCUAUGUGAGUCAAGGAUGGAACGAUGGUCCCAGAACAUCCCAGGAGGGUGUGACAGCCUCCAUCUAGAAGGUUCUAUCCUCAGGUCCCCAAGGCAUCUGCAGCACACCGUCCUCUGCUGUGGGUCUGUGAAGCAGCCACUCCAGCAGCAGGUGUCCCUAUCGUUGGCGUUCUCAGUCAUCUCUCUCCCCACUGACCCCCUUCCGUUCCUGUCCCUGUGGUCACCCGCCCAGCUAUGGACCUUCGCGCCUAACUAUGAGUCCCUCCAUACAUCACCUAUCCCCCACUCACCUGUCUAUACUCCAUCCCCCGUGUAGCCACGAAUCCAUCCAGCACCCCCUCACCACUCACACCUCUCCAAUCACCCAUCAGUGUCUGUCCACCACAUCUGCG
rnacentral:lncRNA from 1 species